rnacentral:rRNA from 1 species
CAGUCGAACGGAACUGUUUUGAAAGAUUUCUUCGGAAUGAAUUUGAUUUAGUUUAGUGGCGGACGGGUGAGUAACGCGUGAGUAACCUGCCUUCAAGAGGGGGAUAACAUUCUGAAAAGAAUGCUAAUACCGCAUGACAUAUCGGAAUCACAUGGUUUUGAUAUCAAAGAUUUUAUCGCUUGAAGAUGGACUCGCGUCCGAUUAGUUAGUUGGUGAGGUAACGGCUCACCAAGACCGCGAUCGGUAGCCGGACUGAGAGGUUGAACGGCCACAUUGGGACUGAGACACGGCCCAGACUCCUACGGGAGGCAGCAGUGGGGGAUAUUGCGCAAUGGGGGCAACCCUGACGCAGCAACGCCGCGUGAAGGAUGAGGGUUUUCGGAUUGUAAACUUCUUUUAUUAAGGACGAAACUUGACGGUACUUAAUGAAUAAGCUCCGGCUAACUACGUGCCAGCAGCCGCGGUAAUACGUAGGGAGCAAGCGUUGUCCGGAUUUACUGGGUGUAAAGGGUGCGUAGGCGGCUUUGCAAGUCAGAUGUGAAAUCUAUGGGCUCAACCCAUAAACUGCAUUUGAAACUGUAGAGCUUGAGUGAAGUAGAGGCUGGCGGAAUUCCCCGUGUAGCGGUGAAAUGCGUAGAGAUGGGGAGGAACACCAGUGGCGAAGGCGGCCUGCUGGGCUUUAACUGACGCUGAGGCACGAAAGCGUGGGUAGCAAACAGGAUUAGAUACCCUGGUAGUCCACGCUGUAAACG